AAGGCGGGCUAAUACAGCAUGGGACCACACGGUUUUGGCCGAGUGGUGAAAGCGGGCCUCUGUUCACAAGCUCGCGCUCUGGGAUGGAUCUGCGGCCCAUCAGCUAGUUGGUGAGGUAACGGCUCACCAAGGCUACGACGGGUAGCUGGUCUGAGAGGAUGAUCAGCCACACUGGAACUGAGACACGGUCCAGACUCCUACGGGAGGCAGCAGUGGGGAAUCUUGCGCAAUGGGCGAAAGCCUGACGCAGCGACGCCGCGUGGGUGACGAAGGCCUUCGGUUGUAAGCCCUGUGGGGAGGGAACGAACCGUCCGGGGCCGAAGUACCCUCCGGGCCGUCGACGGUACCUCCUUUAGCAAGCAUCGGCUAACUCUGUGCCAGCAGCCGCGGUAAGACAGAGGAUGCGAACGUUGCUCGGAAUUACU
rnacentral:rRNA from 1 species